UUCCUACGGGAGGCAGCAGUAGGGAAUCUUCCACAAUGGGCGAAAGCCUGAUGGAGCAACGCCGCGUGGGUGAAGAAGGUCUUCGGAUCGUAAAACCCUGUUGUUAGAGAAGAAAGUGCGUGAGAGUAACUGUUCACGUUUCGACGGUAUCUAACCAGAAAGCCACGGCUAACUACGUGCCAGCAGCCGCGGUAAUACGUAGGUGGCAAGCGUUAUCCGGCGUUAUUGGGCGUAAAGGGAACGCAGGCGGGCUUUUAAGUCUGAUGUGACACGCUUCGGAUUAACCGGAGUAGUGCAAU
rnacentral:rRNA from 1 species